UACAGAGGGUGCGAGCGUUGUUCGGAAUUAUUGGGCGUAAAGGGCGCGUAGGCGGUGCCACAAGUCACUUGUGAAAUCCCCGGGCUUAACUCGGGGCCUGCAGGCGAAACUGUGGUGCUGGAGUAUGGGAGAGGUGCGUGGAAUUCCCGGUGUAGCGGUGAAAUGCGUAGAUAUCGGGGAGGAACACCUGUGGCGAAAGCGGCGCACUGGACCAUAACUGACGCUGAGGCGCGAAAGCUAGGGGAGCAAACAGG
rnacentral:rRNA from 1 species